ensembl:ncRNA lncRNA:CR45455 long non-coding RNA:CR45455
ACGGCUGGCCAAUAUCAAUAAGUCGAGAUGUGGACGGAGAAGGAGAUGGCUACCAAGUCACGCCGUCGAAAUGGGCACGGCCGAACAAAAAGAGACGGUCAGAAAGUAAGUGGCAUGAAUAAAAGCAAAAACCAGAACGAGAAUCGGGCAGAGAGAGAAGAAAGCCGCAGUGGCAGAGGAGCUGCACUGGAAGAAAAAAUGCAUAAAUGAAAUAAUAACUCCGGGACUUAUUAUUUUGUAAGAUGAAAAGGCAACUUUU